GGAGGGGUACCAAAGUGGCCAAAUGGGGCGGACUGUAAAUCCGUUGCGAAAGCUUCGAAGGUUCGAAUCCUUCCCCCUCCACCA
rnacentral:tRNA from 4 species